rnacentral:rRNA from 1 species
GACAGAGGGGGCAAGCGUUGCUCGGAAUUACUGGGCGUAAAGGGCGCGUAGGUGGCGGGACAAGCGUGCGGUGAAAGCCUGAGGCUCAACCCCGGGUCGGCCGUGCGAACUGUUUUGCUUGAGCACUGUAGAGGCAGGCGGAAUUCCGGGUGUAGCGGUGGAAUGCGUAGAGAUCCGGAAGAACACCGGUGGCGAAGGCGGCCUGCUGGGCAGUAGCUGACACUGAGGCGCGACAGCGUGGGGAGCAAACAGG